rnacentral:rRNA from 1 species
AACGAACGCUGGCGGCAUGCCUAACACAUGCAAGUCGAACGAGACCUUCGGGUCUAGUGGCGCACGGGUGCGUAACGCGUUGGAACCUUCCCUUAUGUUCGGAAUAACUCCCCUAAAGGUGUGCUAAUACCGGUUAAUGUCUUCGGACCAAAGAUUUAUCGCCUUUGGAUGGGCCCGCGUUGGAUUAGCUUUUUGGUAGGGUAAAAGCCUACCAAGGCGACGAUCCAUAGCUGGUCUGAGAGGAUGAUCAGCCACACUGGGACUGAGACACGGCACAGACUAGUACGGGAGGGAGCAGUGGGGAAUAGUGGAAAAUGGGGGAAAGCAUGAACCAGAAAUGAGGGGUGAGUGAUGAAGGGAUUAGGGUUGUAAAGCUCUUUUACCCGGGAUGAUAAUGACAGUACCGGGAGAAUAAGCACCGGCUAACUCCGUG